UACGGAGGGGGCAAGCGUUGUUCGGAAUUACUGGGCGUAAAGGGCGCGUAGGCGGCUUACCAAGUCAGGCGUGAAAUUCCCGGGCUCAACCUGGGGGCUGCGCUUGAUACUGGUGAGCUUGAAUGCGGGAGAGGAUAGUGGAAUUCCCAGUGUAGAGGUGAAAUUCGUAGAUAUUGGGAAGAACACCGGUGGCGAAGGCGGCUAUCUGGCCCGUAAUUGACGCUGAGGCGCGAAAGCGUGGGGAGCAAACAGG
rnacentral:rRNA from 1 species